AGAAUAGAAAUUAAAAUAAUAAAAUCCUAAUUCUAAUAGAAUACUAAAAAUACUCUAAUUAGACCAUAAUAAUGCUAAGCAAGCUUAAUCAAAUUCAAAAAAAUCUCAAAGAAAUUUCAAACAAAUAAUAAGAAUUCUUAUAGAAAUAUUAAAAGGAUCACAAAUAUCACUCAAAUAUAUCUCAAUUCAAUCUUAAUUUAAUUCUACUUAAAAUCCGAUUGAACUUCAUUCAAAUUUUAGGCCAAAACUAAUUGAAUCUUAAAUCCUAAUAAAAUCCUAAACCCUAAAUCAAACCCUAAACAAAUCUUAAAUCAAACCCCAAUCAAAUCCUAAACUAAAUCCUAAAAAAAUCCUAAAUCAAAUCCUAAAUCCUAAAUCCUAAAUCAAAUCCUAAUCAAAUCCUAAUCCAAACCAUAAAUCCUAAACCAAAUCCUAACCAAACCCUAAACCAAACCCUAGUAAUUCCUACAACAGAUUUAAACCUCAAUAACUAAUGAAUAAACUAUUUAUCUUAAAUCAAAUUUUACAUACUUCUAAAAAAAUAAGUUAAAAACAAGCACAAAAAAAUUGAAAAGGAUCGAAGUUACCAAAUUGACGAUAACCUCAAAAAUGAGCUCGGGUAUUGGCCUGCAUUCUUCUCCAACCUUGAUGCCAAUCUUCCAAAGCCAAUAUCUCUCUUUUGCAUCGUUCGAUUGAUUUCAAAAUUCUCAUACAUAUAGAAAAUCAAGUCUAAUAUCCUCUUACAUAAGUUUCACUCCAAUCCAACCAAUAGAUUGCAAGAAAUCUUAAAAACCGUCACUAGACCUAAAAUUUUACUUUCUGAGACCUUGACCUACUUAAACCACAAUAUUCCUCAAU
rnacentral:lncRNA from 1 species